rnacentral:rRNA from 1 species
GAUGAACGCUAGCGGCAGGCUUAAUACAUGCAAGUCGAGGGGCAGCACAGAUAGCAAUAUUGGGUGGCGACCGGCAAACGGGUGCGGCACACGUACACAACCUUCCUUUUAGUGUGGGAUAGCUCAGAGACAUUUGGAUUAAUACCACAUAGUAUAUUGGAGUGGACUCACUUUGAUAUUAAAGAUUUAUUGCUACAAGAUGGGUGUUCGUAGGAUUAGGUAGUUGGUAGAGGUAACGGCUCACCAAGCCUUCGAUUAUUAACUGGUUGGAGGGCACGACCAAUCACACGGGAACUGAGACACGGGCCCGACUCCUACGGGAGGCAGCAGUAAGGAAUAUUGGUCAAUGGACGGAAGUCUGACCCAGCCAUGCCGCGUGAAGGAUGACGGCCCUCUGGGUUGUAAACUUCUUUUAUGUGGGACGAAAAAGGGCCAUUUUUGGUCAACUGACGGUACCAUAGGAAUAAGCACCGGCUAACUCCGUGCCAGCAGCCGCCGGUAGAC